CUCUCAGCCAAAGCCAAGAAUAGCAACUGUAGCAGCAGGUACCACACCUGACUUUCUAAUGAGGGGAAGUCCAGCAGCCGUCCCCCAUUGUCUGUGGCAGGAGGUAUCUCUGCAUUAGCCAGGUUAGACAAAUGUAAAGAGAGACAUCACUGUAUCUGGAUCAUCAGGAUCUGUGAAGGUUUGAAAGGGCCAAUGAGUAUUCUCAUCAUUGAGGCAUUCUAUGGUGGGUCCCAUAAACAGCUGGUGGAUCUGCUUCAAGAAGAGUUAGAAGACUCUGUCCUGUAUACCCUGCCUGCAAAGAAAUGGCACUGGAGAGCAAGGACAUCAGCUUUGUACUUCUCUCAGAAUAUUCCCGCCAGUGGGCAUUACAGGAUCCUCUUCGCAAGCUCAGUGCUUAACCUGACUGAACUGGCUGCCCUUCGACCUGACCUUGGGAAAUUGAAAAAGAUUCUGUACUUUCAUGAGAACCAGUUGGUAUAUCCUGUCAAGAAAUGUCAGGAGAGGGAUUUCCAAUAUGGAUACAACCAAAUUCUAUCCUGCCUGGUGGCUGAUGUGGUGGUAUUCAACUCGGUUUUUAAUAUGGAGUCAUUUCUCACUUCUAUUGGAAAAUUCAUGAAGUUGAUUCCUGAUCACAGACCCAAGGAUCUGGAAAGCAUCAUCAGACCCAAGUGCCAAGUUAUUUACUUUCCCAUCAGGUUUCCUGACGUGAGCAGGGAGCAUGAUAAAGAUCCAGAGAGUUUUUUUAAGGUAUUGAUGCAUCUUAAGGACUUAGGACUCAAUUUCCACGUAUCUGUCCUUGGAGAAACCUUCACAGAUGUCCCAGAUAUAUUUUCAGAAUCCAGAAAGGCAUUGGGAUCUUCUGUGUUGCACUGGGGCUACUUACCCAGCAAAGAUGACUAUUUCCAAGUACUGUGCAUGGCUGAUGUUGUCAUCUCAACAGCUAAGCAUGAAUUCUUUGGAGUGGCAAUGUUGGAAGCUGUGUAUUGUGGGUGUUACCCGCUUUGUCCCAAAGAUUUGGUUUAUCCCGAAAUAUUUCCAGCUGAAUAUCUGUAUUCUACACCUGAACAGCUUUCAAAAAGGCUCCAGAAUUUCUGCAAGAGACCAGAUAUUACAAGAAAACAUCUCUAUAAGGGUGAAAUGGCUCCUUUUUCUUGGGCAGCCCUACAUGGUAAAUUCAGGUCUCUGCUUACAGCAGAACCUAGGGAAGAUUUGUGACAGAUGGGGCUAAGUCACAAACUUGCAGCCUAAGGCAGAAUCUGUAGAACUUUCCAGAGUGUGCCCAUAUUUACCUGAUCAGAGAGAAAAGAAAAUCUGCAGAGGAAGCUGAGCCUGGCUGCUUGUCAUAGCUGACACAGAGCCAUCUGCCACAAACCUGUGGCGGCUUCAGAUCUCCAAUCCCUGCCACCACCCCAACUCAAAUUAAAUACAGAUUCCUAGAGACGUUAUGAUGGUUACACAUGUCCUCGGCAUCACAUGGAGGAGACUGUUCAAAAAAAAUAUGUGGCCUGUUGUAUAACCGCACUCAUGUAUCCCAUAUGUGGUGCCACAUUGAAUUUCCGGUUGAAUCCGUUUUUAUCCUUUGUACUGGAUGACAUGGUGCCUGAAUUCUUUCAUUUCGCCGACACGAUGGCAGCCAAACUGCAGCUUCAAACGCUCUCACUUGGCUGGGUUUCUACCUAGGUUGCCAGGUUAUCAUCGGAGCCUUCUUGUGUCCUCAGAGGGCCACAGGGCCUGAACGGAGGAUCAGAAUGCUACUGACUAAUUGGGCAGCCAUCUCGGAAUUGUUUGUGGGCAAAGAGCUGCUUUAGCACUUUUCUUUUAGCAAAUUAAUGACUCCCUGGCACCGAGGUUUUAAGUGAAGGUAUUAAUAAGAAGUCUGGCAGGUAUUCCCAUGAUUCACAGAGUUACAUUUGCAUUUAAUUUAUCUUAAAGAAAGUUGCAAGAUAAACAGCUGUAAUUCAGACAAACAUGGAAAAUACACUAAGUAGGGCCAUCUCGCCCGUAAAAUGAACACAGAGAUACUUGUUUUAAUUUUUUUCGAGAAAUAAAAAUACUUCUUACAAAACCA
rnacentral:lncRNA from 1 species